CAAGUGGAUACUUCAACAGUUGAAGAAACAACCUACUCAGUUGUUCGUGUUUGAUAACCCACUGAAAAUGAUCAUAGUCACAGUUUAUAAAAUUUACUAUUUAGGUCCUAAACAUUUCAUACAUGUAAACUUGUGUUUUCGAAUGGCGUCUAUCUGCCUCUCUUUUAGUAGAUUUUCUGAGGCUUAUGCCAGAGUGCGUAAGCGGAGCCGGCCAAGAAGAGCGAAUGUCUCUCACUGAGUUGGCUGACCUAGGCUUUUCUGGUUCAGAUGCAGGCCUGGGAUCAACUGAUAUGGCAGAGACUCCAUCCAUCCAUCAUCUUCUGCUUAUCCGGGGCCGGGUCGCGGGUGCAGCAGUCUAAGCAGAGAUGCCCAGACUUCCCUCUCCCCAGACACUUCCUCUAGCUCUUCCGGGGGGACACCGAGGCGUUCCCAGGCCAGCUGGGAGACAUAGUCCCUCCAGCAUGAUGCCCAAGCCACCUCAUCUGAACCCUCUCGAUGUGGAGGAGCAGCGG
ensembl:lncRNA